AGAGUUUGAUCAUGGCUCAGGACGAACGCUGGCGGCGCGCUUAACACAUGCAAGUCGAGCGAGAACCGAGGCUUCGGCCUCGGGGACAGCGGCGAACGGGUGAGUAUCACGUGGAUAACCUGCCCUCGGCACCGGGAUAGCCCGGGGAAACUCGGAUUAAUACCGGAUGGCCCUUUCGGCUUUCGAGCCGGUCGGAAAAGGUAGCUUCGGCCUCCGGCCGAGGAUGGGUCCGCGGCGGAUUAGCUUGUUGGUGGGGUAAUGGCCUACCAAGGCUCCGAUCCGUAGCUGGUCUGAGAGGACGAUCAGCCACACUGGGACUGAGACACGGCCCAGACUCCUACGGGAGGCAGCAGUGGGGAAUCUUGCGCAAUGGGCGAAAGCCUGACGCAGCGACGCCGCGUGAGGGAGGAAGGCCUUCGGGUUGUAAACCUCUUUCAGGAGGGACGAAGCUACUCGGGUUAAUAGCCCAGAGGGUGACGGUACCUCCAGAAGAAGCCCCGGCUAACUACGUGCCAGCAGCCGCGGUAAUACGUAGGGGGCAAGCGUUGUCCGGAUUUACUGGGCGUAAAGCGCGUGUAGGCGGCCACGCAGGUCCGUUGUGAAAACUGAAGGCUUAACCUUUCAGACGUCGACGGAAACCGUGUGGCUAGAGUCCGGAAGAGGAGAGUGGAAUUCCUGGUGUAGCGGUGAAAUGCGCAGAUAUCAGGAAGAACACCAAUGGCGAAGGCAGCUCUCUGGGACGGUACUGACGCUGAGACGCGAAAGCGUGGGGAGCGAACAGGAUUAGAUACCCUGGUAGUCCACGCCGUAACGAUGGGUGCUAGGUGUGGGAGGUGUCGACUCCUUUCCGUGCCGUAGCUAACGCAUUAGCACCCCGCUGGGGAGUACGGCGCAGGCUAAACUCAA
rnacentral:rRNA from 1 species